UCAUAAUUUCUUCAUGGAGUCACCUGCAAAUGGAGUAGUAGAGUCUUUAUCAGAGGUUCAGAAUUCAGUUUCUGUUGCACAGCAGCAUGAUCCUCCUUCUACAUCCGGGACUCCCCGUCCUACGCGGCCUCCUUUAAGACCAUCUCGGAAUCAUGUUCAUGGGCCUAUACUGGGAAGCUAAACAAAGUUUCACCUAUACUGAAAUUAGUUUUAUGUGGCAGAAGUUCUCCUUGCUUUAGAGUAUUUACUUUUGCUUGGGAUCAUCUACAGAGACCUUAAACCCGAGAACGUGUUGGUGAGGGAAGAUGGUCAUAUAAUGCUGUCGGAUUUUGACCUCUCUCUAAGGUGCACGGUUAGUUCAUGAUUACUUCAAUUUGUACUAUUUUGUUCGCUUUAGUAUUAAUCUUUGAUUUGGCUUUAUAAUAUGACUAGUUGAGCUGUUUAUGUAGCCUUAUAUUAAGUUGAAAGUGAGGAAGUUUUGUCUAGUUGGUCUAAACAGAACACAGCAAGGUUCAUUCUCUUACCGUGCCUUCAUUCUUAA